rnacentral:lncRNA from 1 species
GUCCAGUCAGCCAGCCAGGCUAUAGGACAGCUGCUCUUGCUGCUGCUGUUGACGUUGUUCUCAGAAUCUCUGGCUGUACUGUAAACACAGCAGCAUAGAUCUGUAGAGUAACUAGUGCAGUGCCUAGAGGUGCUCUGUGUGAGGCUGUCUGUUUACCUCCGUGUCCUCCUCUCUCUCCAUAGCACGUAGACAAGACCGAGAGGCCGGACACACACGCAGAGGGACGGACGCAAGCCUUUUUUUUCUUCCUGAAGACGUCCUUCGACACCAGGAAACAGAAAAUGUCAGAGGUGGAGGAACUGAAGGACCAGUAACGACAGCUUGGCUUUGCGGAGAGAAGAUAACAGACGCGGUAAGUACAGAAAGUUAUUGGAGAU